rnacentral:tRNA from 1 species
GAAAAUGACCACUCUCGUAGCUGCUAACUAUGAGCCUUGCAUUCCUUGUAACAUUUUCU